rnacentral:rRNA from 1 species
GCGCAGCAGGCGCGAAACCUUCGCAAUGCGGGAAACCGCGACGAGGGACUCCCAGUGCCUACGCUCAGCGUAGGCUGUUCCCGAGCCUAGAAAGCUCGGGGAGUAAGGGCUGGGUAAGACGGGUGCCAGCCGCCGCGGUAAUACCCGCAGCCCGAGUGGUGGCCACUAUUAUUGGGCCUAAAGCGUCCGUAGCCGGCCCGGUAAAUGCCUGGGUAAAUCGUGAGGCCUAACCUCACGAAUUCCGGGUAGACUGCCGGGCUAGGGACCGGAGGAGGGAGAGGGUACUCCAGGGGUAGGGGUGAAAUCCUGUAAUCCCUGGAGGACCACCGGUGGCGAAGGCGCUCUCCUAGGACGGGUCCGACGGUGAGGGACGAAAGCCAGGGGAGCGAACCGGAUUAGAUACCCGUGUAGU